rnacentral:rRNA from 1 species
GAUGAACGCUGGCGGCGUGCCUAAUACAUGCAAGUCGAGCGAACGGACGAGAAGCUUGCUUCUCUGAUGUUAGCGGCGGACGGGUGAGUAACACGUGGAUAACCUACCUAUAAGACUGGGAUAACUUCGGGCAACCGGAGCUCAUACCGGAUGAUAUUUUGAACCGCAUGGUUCAACAGUGAAAGACGGUCUUGCUGUCACUUAUAGAUGGAUCCGCGCUGCAUUAGCUAGUUGGUAAGGUAACGGCUUACCAAGGCAACGAUGCAUAGCCGACCUGAGAGGGUGAUCAGCCACACUAGAACUGAGACACGGUCCAGACUCCUACGGGAGGCAGCAGUAGGGAAUCUUCCGCAAUGGGCGAAAGCCUGACGGAGCAACGCCGCGUGAGUGAUGAAGGUCUUCGGAUCGUAAAACUCUGUUAUUAGGGAAGAACAUAUGUGUAAGUAACUGUGCACAUCUUGACGGUACCUAAUCAGAAAGCCACGGCUAACUACGUG